rnacentral:rRNA from 1 species
AUUGAACGCUGGCGGCAGGCCUAACACAUGCAAGUCGAACGAGUGGCGGACGGGUGAGUAAUGUCUGGGACACUGCCUGAUGGAGGGGGAUAACUACUGGAAACGGUAGCUAAUACCGCAUACCAUCAGAUGUGCCCAGAUGGGAUUAUCUUGUUGGUGGGGGAACGGCUCACCAAGGCGACGAGCCCUAGCUGGUCUGAGAGGAUGACCAGCCACAAUGGAACGAAGACACGGUCCAAGCUCCUACGGGAGGCAGCAGUGGGGAAUAUUGGACGAUGGGCGAAAGCCUGAUGCAGCCAUGCCGCGUGUAUGAAGAAGGCCUUCGGGUUGUAAAGUACUGUCAGCGGGGAGGCGUUACCCGCAGAAGAAGCACCGGCUAACUCCGUGCCAGCAGCCGCGGUAAUUC